AACUCAAUUUCCCUGUACAAGAAUACGCGCGAACCGUAUGGGUUGACAGGAAGCGUGCUGCUCGCUGACGCCGGUGUGUCUACAUGUUUGCGAUGCUCUCUACAAGCUACCAACACCGGAGCACACUACGAAUUGUGUUGACUGAUUGCACCCCUUCCAACAAUAAAGCCAGCAUCAGGACUCGCGGACUGCACGGCUGCUCUUGUACAGUCGGUGGCUUUGGGGAGUCCACCUGGAGGUCGGCGUGUGCAGCUUCCGAGGGGACACUGUGGGAGACAGCAGAGAGGGAUGAAACGGACAGUGGUCAGUAUUAAAAACACGAGGACAGGGCGAUGAUUGCAUCGAUGUUCAAAAUUUAUUUUGGUAAACGUUGGAAUUUUCAUUGGUAAGGUCACCGAAUUCCUGCCCCCAACCCUGCUCAAUGCGUUCCACCACGAAGCACUUUGUUUGAUUGAUGCUGCGAUGCUCAUUGAUUCCGACCAGCCAUCCUGUCAUUCAUUGGCUUCCCCAUCACUAAUGUAUAGUAUUACCACGGCCAUAGUUCUUAUAAAUUUAAUAUCUUGAUACCUCUACUAAUGUCAAGGACUCAAUUUACUAGGUUGACCGUUUCCUGAGCUCUACCAUGCACACGCAUUAUAUUAGAGGACAAACUAUUUAUCUUCCUCCUUUCCAUACUCUGACUAUCUUAUGAUCUUGUGUUUAAGUGUUGAGAUAAUAACAAAUAUACAGCCCUUUGUCAAUCUAUUACUAAGUGGAAAAUGCCUCCGCACUGCCAUGAAAGUCAUGGGAAGUGUUUUACCAUUCGUCACUGUUCUUGUCACUACGGGUGGGUGCACAAGGCUACCUGGGAUCUGUUCUAAAUAUCACUCGCCACUCAUGUUAGCCGUGGCUGAAAAUUCACAGUGCAGCAAAGAAACAAUUGUGUGACUGGUUCCGUCAUAUAAGUGUUUAAAACGUUUCAUCAUUGAAUUCUGGCUGCCACCUCCUCCCCCGUGUUGGCAAUGCCGUCUGCUACUUUUCAUCAGCGAGUCGUGGAACUCCCUGGGCUGUGGGCACGUGCUUGCUCUGGUGGCGAGGUCAUUAUCCGGAGCAGCGGCGGUGACAUUUGUGGUGGUGGCUGUGCUCACGGCAGUCAUGGUGGCAUCUUCCUUGCUGUGAACACAAGAAACAAAAAGCGGCAAAAUGUCAAAAGGCUGAACUCUGCAAUAGAAUGCAGAAUAAGGGGCAAGUAGCUAGUCGUAAUCAACUAUUUAUCACAGUUGAUUAUAGUGGAAUAAAUUAUGUUCACCAUAAUUUGUGUUUACAAUGUGAGAAAGGCUAUCGCAAUUGUUACAGCAAAGAACCAUAGCUAGCCACAACCACUCAAUAACCUCCACUAUCCACAACAACCAUGCCACAACCAUACAGCCCUUUCACGAUUGUUUAUCCCUGUGUUGUGUUCAUCACUCGUUACUUAACUUGCACUUCGGCCUGACUCCAGGGUUUCUGGCAACGUCAUGGCUCACCAACCACCCCCUUUUGAUCAAGGGUUUAAGCCGUUAUUGUGCCGAUCAUGUCAGAUCUUCACCAAUUUCUCUCUUCUCUGAGAAAACCAGACCAUUAUCGCUCGCUCGACGGGCUACGGAUGAAAACUCAAUGGGAGGGUUGGUCUGAUUCCGGGAUGACGUCUCAAAUCGCCUCUGUCUUAGGUGAGCACAGCCUUGGUGUCAAAAGGGAUACGUCAAUCCCAGCUCACUCUCAGCACCAUUCAUGUCCCUGUCACUGCUGCUGGAACGGCUGUCCGAGUUGUCCCAGCUCACGGCAUCCCACGGUGGACCAACGGCCAGCUCGUCCGUUUGGACAGCGGCGUCGACCUGCCCCUUGAUUGUGCCGUGCUAGCAUCCCGCUCCGCUAGCCGCGUGUCUGCUGAUUGUGCGUUUGUGCAGCUACAGUGGCAACUCAUCUGCAGAUUGUUCACUGCGCUUGCUUUUACUCACUCCGAGAGGACUUUCUUCUUCCGGGACUGCACCGUGACCGCCUCCUUUUCCACCUCCUGUCCCAAGCAGGUGCCCUGAGUCGACCCCGCCCUGGACUCUGGUAUGUCAAUUUCCAGAGUCCGUUCGUAGCCAAUGCGCAUGAAUUUAAGUUUAAUUGUUUUUUGCUGAUGUGGCUGCUGCACCUGCAAGUCUUUAACUGCUCCUUUUUAUUGUCGUCUACACAGGUUUUCCUGUGAAGUACCGCGUUGCUGUGAGUUCGACGAUCCAAUGGUCGCAUGUACAGCUUCCUAGGGGACACUGGGAUACAGCGGAGAGAGAUUAAACGGACAGUGGUCAGUAUUGGAAACAUAAGCAAAGCGAUGAUUGCAUCGAUGUUCAAAAUACCUUUUGGUAAACGUUAGAAUUUUCUUUGUUAUGGUCACCUAAUUCCUGCCCCAAACCCAGCUCAAUGGACCCACCACGAAGCAAUUUAAUUGAUUGCCGGCGACGAUCAUUGAUUCAUUCCAGCCAUCCUGUUGUUCAUUGGCUUCUUCAUCAAUAAUGGAUAGUUAUUACCACGGCCAUAGUUCUAAUAAAUUUUAUAUCUUGAUACCUCUGCUAAUGUCAAGGACUCAAUUCAUUAGGUUGACCGUUACGUACAUGUUAUGUAUAUCGUUUAUUGUUAAAUUUGAAUCGCAGUUCCUUUGAUUACUGUUGUUAGAUUGUUUUUACAGCUUUAUUUUGGUGUUUUUGAAAACAUGGUUAAGCCAUGUUUCUUGCG